CCGUCAGGUCGCUACUUUACGCAAUUUUGAGGUGGCAACCCUGGGUGUGUGGCGGCUGUGAGGGGACAAGGCUGUGUGAAAGUGAGGGCGGCUGUAUGGCGGCGGCUGCUGUAGGGGUGAGCACGGCACCAUGGACCUUAAGGACAUUAUCAUCAGCGGUAUCUCCGUCGUCGCCUCCGUCUGCCUCGUUGUCAUCUUCGUGGCCUUCGGUUGGUAUGUUGUGUGGUGGCUUUUCCUAUCGAGAUUCAAGUUUAUUCGUGAAAUUCUAGGAAAUCACCAGAAUGGAAGCCCCUCAUUAGAGGAACUGAGACAAGCUCGGCUUCGCUCGUCUCGGAAAACACGACGGGACUGACACCUUGUGUUCUUCUUUAUCAUGUAAUGAUUUGAAAGCUCUCUGAGUCUGGUGCUGAUUUUGAUGACUGAGAAAUGGCAGAUGAAUGGGAACUUCUAGUCUGAAGAAAACCUCUUAUUCCAUUAUACUGUGUUAUUGUUACUUUUUUUUUUUUUUUUUUUUUUUUUUUUUACAAGUCUGUGUUGUAUCUCAGGAACACAGUUGUAAUAAUUUGAUCAGUCUGUUUCUGAAAGCAUCUAUAUAUUUAAAGUGUUUUUUCCCACUUUUACAUAUGCAGCAUCUCUCAAUAUGUAUACUGUACUGUAUUUAUUAACCCAUUUCUUUAAGCUGUUAAUAUGGAGUUUUUUAGGUUGUCUUUAAGUUUGUGUAUUAUUGAUAAUAAUGCAAUUGUAAAGUUAGUUCUAAUUUAAAAUUGUUAAUAUCUAUAUACUGUACUGUACUUGUAUAUAAUUUCUCAAAUUUGUUGUUUUCUCAAAAUGGUCACACAUAAUGAUCCAUGUAAUUUUCAGAAUACAUUUAAUAGUAGUGGUUGAAGCUCCCAAGUUCUACGAGGGUGCAUAGCUCGGUAUGGCAACUCAUUUAUUAUUUGAGGCUGUGGAUAAAUUGUUAAUUUAUUUUUGUUUAUUGCUUAUUUAAUGUGUAUAAAUAUUUCUAGCCAAUUAUUCAUUUUAAUGUAGAGAUGAACGAGUACAACUUAGUGUGCGAGUAUUUUGUGAGUUGAGUGCAGCGUAGUAUGCAACGAGGCGUGCAUUCCCCCGUGAUAUUUCAGUCACAUUACUGAUAUAGAUAUAGUAUUUUCUUGGGUGCCAGUAUGGAAGAAUCUUUGAUUAUAUAGACCUAGAAAAAAAAUCAUUUGUAUAUAGCAUUU